ensembl:lncRNA
GACCUGGGCUGCUUUCUGAGGAGGAGUGCUGUGUAGCUAGAGAGCCCCUUCAUCAGUUGGGCCUUGUUGGAGAUUUUGGGCUGUACUGCAAUCCCAGAAGAUAUUUUGGGGACUACUCGAGUUUUGUCGAACAUCAGGUGGAGGGGAGCUCUUAGUUUUCUGAUUUGAAGUGCUGUUUGUGCAGUUCUCAGACGUACCUCUCCUUUAGCACAGAGGCACAGUGUACAUCAACAACCCCUGCUGAUUUUCACUGACUUCUGUGGGUGUCUUUAGGAGCGUUCUGCAGCGUGACCUCUUGAGCAACGAUGUUACAGAAGCAACACACCUCUCGUUAGACUUGCUUUUAAAACUUAAUCCUUCUACUUGCGAUAUAAUCCAAAGUCGUCUCCUUACCUUUAAAAUAGAACAGUGCCAAGGAGUCUUCCCCAUUCUAUGUGGGCUGUGUGCUGUUAGCAUUCUGGAGCUGAGUUUCUCCUCAUUCCCAGAUGCUGUUGUGCCCUGCACAACCCACAGCUUUCCUCUGGCUGCCCCUGCUCUGUGUUACGGCUAUGAUCACAGUCAGAGCAGGCAGAUGCCAAUGGCUGCCAGGUGAUUGGUCUGCAUGAUCUUAAAGAUUUUUUUCCAACUUUAAUGAUUCUAUGGUUACUCGUGCUGUUGCCCUCGCAGCUCAGCAUUUUCCCUUGCUGACAGCUCUGUGGUGGCUCCUGCAUAAGGCCAACCAUGGGGUCACUGCUGCAGCUCACACCAGGACCUGGGGCUGCAUCCCCGGGCACCUGCAGGGUGCAGGAAGCACAUUUGCACUGUUGGUUCUGGCUUAGUGCCAGUCUCUGGCGUGGGUCUGCCAACAUUUGAGUGGAUGUGGAUGUGCUGGCUACACGUGACUUCUGCCACAGGAGAUGGCCUGGGAGUCUCCCAAGGGGAACUGCUGAAGCGUUUGUCUCAUGGCUGAGUGCUUUGAUAACUGCACCACUUUGUGCAGCCACAUGGCCAGCUCGUCUCACCAUGCUCUGGAUGAAAACAGCAGAGUGCAACACCUGCAGUGCUGUAUGAGCAGCACCAUGCUGGGCCUGGAAUGAAGCACAGCUCUGGUGCAGAGCUGCGGUGUCUGUGGCUGAACUCAGGGUUACAUGUAGUGCAUGACAGCCAUGUACCAAAGUGGCCGCAUAGUGCCAAAAGGCAGACCAGCACUGGGCUGAGCCCUUGCCAGGUCAGCAUUUUCUGUUUUUAUUGUUGGAGCACAGGGGGCCCGUUUCCUGCUCUGGCCUGGCAGCUGCCCCCUCCUCAGGGUCUGACGAGGCCUUGCAGUUGGCUGAGAGCGCAAUGAGCUCAGCACUGGGGCUGGCACUGCCCUCAUCCUCCUGCAGUAGUGCUGGGAGUGAUUGGCACUGCCUUUGAGAGCAGAGGCUUCUCGGAGCGUUUACCAUCUGGUACCACUUACCACAUUAAUCGGAGUCUGAGGGCUGAACAAACCAUGUCUGACUUGAGAUUUCAGAAGCAACUGGAGUUCUACGUUCCAGAUGCUGUUAUUGGUAAGCCUGAAGUUCUGUGUUCAUAUCACUGCUUCCGUGGGAGAAAGAGAAAAGAAAUCCCUAAGAACCAAAUCUGAAAACAAAACUUGGACUCAUUUGGUUUUCGCACUGAGAUUUGGCAAAGUGUGGUGUCUGCAUUGCUGACAGUAGGAUGGUUUAAACUUUCAUGACCCAAACUGAAGAACACACCUCUGGCAAUGUUUUAAUAUUGAUAGGCAACAUUGUGAUUCAUCAACAUCAAACUGUUUAAUUCAUUAGCCCACAACUUCUGUGUAACGUGGGAAUACAUUUAAAAGAGUGAGAUGAGACAAAGUAUUAAUUAUGCAGUCAUUGCACAAAUUAAUAAUUUUA